UACGAAGGGGGCUAGCGUUGUUCGGAAUUACUGGGCGUAAAGCGCACGCAGGCGGAUUUAUAAGUCAGGGGUGAAAUCCCGGGGCUCAACCUCGGAAUUGCCUUUGAUACUGUCUAUCUUGAGUCCGGGGGAGGUGAGUGGAAUUCCUAGUGUAGAGGUGAAAUUCGUAGAUAUUAGGAAGAACACCAGUGGCGAAGGCGGCUCACUGGCCCGGUACUGACGCUCAUGUGCGAAAGCGUCGGGAGCAAACAGG
rnacentral:rRNA from 1 species